GAAAUUGUGUCCUCGGCCGCCGGUUCGUCGCUCGCGACGCCAACUGGCGCGCACGCUGGACGUCAAGCCGGUACUACGAACUCGCCUACGGGGUGCUCUUAACCGAGUGUCCAGGCGGGGGCCGGCAACGUUACUUUGAACAAAUUAAAGUGCUUAAAGCAGGCUAAAUUGCGCUCGCAUACACGCGCAUGGAAUAAUCGAAUAGGACCUCCGUUCUAUUUUGUUGGGUUUUUGUGGAACGACAGACGGAGGUAAUGAUCAAUGGGUGCGGAUGGGGGCAUUCGUAUUGCGACGUUAGAGGUGAAAUUCUUGGAUCGUCGCAAGACGGACUUAAGCGAAAGCAUUUGCCAAAAACGCUUUCAUCGAUCAAGAACGAAAGUUAGAGGUUCGAAGGCGAUCAGAUACCGCCCUAGUUCUAACCAUAAACUAUGCCAGCUAGCGAUCCGCCGAAGUUACUUCUAUGACUCGGCGGGCAGCUUCCGGGAAACCAAAGCUUUCGGGUUCCGGGGGAAGUAUGGUUGCAAAGCUGAAACUUAAAGGAAUUGACGGAAGGGCACCACCAGGAGUGGAGCCUGCGGCUUAAUUUGACUCAACACGGGAAACCUCACCAGGCCCGGACACCGGAAGGAUUGACAGAUUGAGAGCUCUUUCUUGAUUCGGUGGGUGGUGGUGCAUGGCCGUUCUUAGUUGGUGGAGCGAUUUGUCUGGUUAAU
rnacentral:rRNA from 1 species